ensembl:misc_RNA Metazoa_SRP Metazoan signal recognition particle RNA
GCCGGGAGCAGUGGCGGGCGCCUGUAAUCCCAGCUACUCGGGAGGCUGAGGCAGGAGGAUUGCUUGAACCCGGGAGGUGGAGGUAGCAGUGAGCUGAGGUCACGCCACUGCACUCCAGCCUGGGUAACAGAGUGAGACCCUGUCUUAA